UACGGGGGGGGCAAGCGUUGUUCGGAAUUACUGGGCGUAAAGCGUGCGUAGACGGUUAUUUAAGUCGGAUGUGAAAGCCCCGGGCUCAACCUGGGAAUUGCAUUCGAGACUGAAUAGCUAGGGUACGGUAGAGGGAAGCGGAAUUUCCGGUGUAGCGGUGAAAUGCGUAGAUAUCGGAAGGAACAUCAGUGGCGAAAGCGGCUUCCUGGACCAGUACCGACGUUCAGGCACGAAAGCGUGGGGAGCAAACAGG
rnacentral:rRNA from 1 species